rnacentral:lncRNA from 1 species
UUUCCUUUUACAUGUCUCCCUUUGAGGACACCUACACUUGCUCUGGAGCUCAUGUCUAGAAUUUGACUGAAUCACAGCAGCACACAGAAUUGAAAGCUUUCAGGAAUUUGUCUAUUAUGUACUGCUGGCAAACCAGCUUUUCUUCAGCGGCUCAAUUACUGCUUUAUUUACUCAAGAAGUUCCUCCUAAUAUGUGGGUGAAGUGACCUUAAAACCUGUAUUUGGGAUCACAUCCUCAUCUGGGCAGAAUUAGGACUCUCUGGUGGUCUGCAAUGCUUAACAGAACUGGGAACAGAACACAGGAAUAUGAAAAGCUUGACAGCUUGGGGGAAUAGGAGGUUGCUAUGCAUUGUGUGAAGAGAAGCUCUUGUGGCAGCUGAUGGAAGCAUUACCCAAAAUCAAAUGCAAUGUCCCUGAAGGAAGGAACAGAGCAGUGACAGCUGCCACAACCCUUCACAGCCAGCUCCAUGCUCCACAAGCUGACGAGGUUCUGCACGAGCAGGUGGCUGAGGAGGGCUCUGCCAGGGCAAGGCCAGUGCUCCUGGUGCUGCUGUGUGGGGCACAUCAGUUAAUUGACACAAUCAGACUAACACCCAAAUUGUUCCUGUAAGGCUUGGGACAAGUAUAAAAUGGAUUAUUUUACUAUCCUAACAAAAAAUUUGGUAAAAUAGUCUGAGUAAUAAUGACCUUGCUGUAGGCAGUACUGCUGGUGUUACCAAUACUUG